GAUGGCUCGUUUAGUUAACGAGCAGAAGCAAGACGCCGUUUUUGUUCAGGAGAGAAAGGCUGCGAUCAGCUGACAGGCUACUUCGCAACAAAAUGACAUUACAGGGCUGUUAAUAUUUCCAGUCAUUUACAUUUAGAGGCUUCCCUGAAUCGAAGCCUCUUUCGAGGGCCGUCUGAAAGCAAAACGUUUCCACACAGAUGUGUUAAUGAUUUAUUAGAUGGUUUAGGAAAAGGGGUGUUUCCUCAAGACAAAGGUGUCUGAUCAUCUGCAGCCAGAGCAAGGCCUAGUAAACCGCUCACUAUUUUAACACAAUGUCAUCAGCAAAGCACCAUUGAGACGUGGUCACUGCUAUAAAAAAUACAGAAUUCUGCCUUUGCAUGUUUAUAUUUUCAGCGCUUUGGCCACUGACAAAUACAUCUAAAUAGGAGUUCACAAUUAUCAGCACCCCACGAAAGUCGCAGCAAAUCCGCACUAUCCUCGAUACGCCAAAUCGCAAAGAGUACAGCCGAAUUCUAAAUGUAACAUUUAACAUGAAUAAAAUGAAGUGUCUGCCGCAAGUAGGCCGGAUUAAGCAAACAUACAUGUAAUUGUAAUAUGCUAACCCUGGAGAUGGGAGAGCCUCGGUAGAAAGAAGACAGCGCUCGGGAGACACCGUCUCCGCUUUCGGUUCGUGCCCGACGGCCCGGGCUCGUACCGUACGGUGCACUGCAGUUUUACGUGUGGCAAAUUUAUCAGGGAUUCGGGAAGCAAGACGAACCGAACAAAGCGAGGCCUUUUCAACCCAGAGGCGAGGAGCCGCGGCGUUUCCUACCCCCAUACUGCGCCCUGAACUGAGGAGCCAUUUACUCACAGAGACACGGCAAGGGGAAAAAAAUCACAAGGCAAGAACAUCCACCAAUCGCUUACUACGUUUCAUCGCUUUGGCUUGCAGCUGCAAAUAGAAAUGUUUUUCUAAAAUGCUUCCCUUCGAUCGGUCCAACCUCAGUAUCAGAGUACACAUCACUUGGCGAACUCGGAAAAAGGGCCAGAACGUGUUUCCUACCAAGAUCCGGGAUCGGGAUUGGGAUUGGGAUAUAUGGCCGCCUCGUCACUGAAUGUGCCGCCCUCUCUAUCUUCUCCGGUUCCCAGGAUACAAUGGCACACACUAUAUGAAAUGCCUAUAUAACCCGGGGUAAAUGCAGUCUGUAAAUGAGUCUGUAAGUUAGUAUCAGCACGACAUUGUGUUGUAAAAGCAGAAUGUAUAAUGAUUCAUAUUUAAUUAAAAAUUGCAUAUAACAGGUUGACACAGCUA